AUUGAACGCUGGCGGCAGGCCUAACACAUGCAAGUCGAACGAGUGGCGGACGGGUGAGUAAUGUCUGGGAAACUGCCCGAUGGAGGGGGAUAACUACUGGAAACGGUGGCUAAUACCGCAUACCAUCGGAUGAGCCCAUAUGGGAUUAGCUUGUUGGUGGGGUAAAGGCUCACCAGGGCGACGAUCCCUAGCUGGUCUGAGAGGAUGACCAGCCACACUGGAACUGAGACACGGUCCAGACGCCUACGGGAGGCAGCAGUGGGGAAUAUUGCACAAUGGGCGCAAGCCUGAUGCAGCCAGGCCGAGUGUAUGAAGAAGGCCUUCGGGUUGUAAAGUACUUUCAGCGGGGAGGCGUUACCCGCAGAAGAAGCACCGGCUAACUCCGUGCCAGCAGCCGCGGUAAUUC
rnacentral:rRNA from 1 species